rnacentral:lncRNA from 1 species
UUACAGCAGCCAGCAGGAAACACGUCACAGGGAAACACUUCGCUUCCGAGAGCGAGGUCAAGAUGGCGCGCUGCAGCAGGUGAAGGGGACUCAGCGGCAGCCGGUCGUUCGCUUGAAGAAUAUGUACAAAACACCAUGUAGUAGACUGACGGGAGUCUGGAAAUGCCUUCCGCGCGAUGGUUUGCUUGGUGUCAGUGUGCAGCAGAAGCUCAUUGCAAACGCAUCUAGGAGUCACAUGAGCGUCAGGAGUCUGAUUAAACUCUGCAGGAAAAAUCAAGCAGAAUGGAUCACGUUCCAGCAUCUCUGCUUCCUGAAGAGACAGUAUGUGAAGAGCAGCAGCAGUCUCUGCCAGAGAGCGAGAGCCAAGCAGGAGCCUGUUGCCUCUGUGCUGGAUGAUCGAGAUGAUUCGGUGGUCAGUCAGGGUACUAAAAAGAU